UAUUCCCUGAGAUGCUUAUGAGGUGAAGAG
rnacentral:piRNA from 1 species